rnacentral:rRNA from 1 species
AGUGAACGCUGGCGGUAGGCCUAACACAUGCAAGUCGAACGGCAGCACAGUAAGAGCUUGCUCUUACGGGUGGCGAGUGGCGGACGGGUGAGGAAUACAUCGGAAUCUACUUUUUCGUGGGGGAUAACGUAGGGAAACUUACGCUAAUACCGCAUACGACCUACGGGUGAAAGCAGGGGAUCUUCGGACCUUGCGCGAUUGAAUGAGCCGAUGUCGGAUUAGCUAGUUGGCGGGGUAAAGGCCCACCAAGGCGACGAUCCGUAGCUGGUCUGAGAGGAUGGUCAGCCACACUGGAACUGGGACACGGUCCAGACUCCUACGGGAGGCAGCAGUGGGGAAUAUUGGACAAUGGGCGCAAGCCUGAUCCAGCCAUACCGCGUGGGUGAAGAAGGCCUUCGGGUUGUAAAGCCCUUUUGUUGGGAAAGAAAAGCAGCAGGUUAAUACCCCGCUGUGCUGACGGUACCCAAAGAAUAAGCACCGGCUAACUUCGUG